UUCAUGGGAGACAGCUCCCUACCCCCACCUCCAUACAGCUCAGUCCCUCAACACUAAGGCCUCUGAGAGAGGACAGGAGGGAAGGGAAAGCUUGAAAACAGUUUAAAAGAAAAACACAGAAAAGAUAACUCUCCUGGAAGCCAGUUGCAGAAGGUGAACUUUGAUUUUAUAGCACGUUUUGCCCUUAAUGAAAGGAGGAAGUGAAAGGCAUUACGUUAUGCUCAGUCAGAAGAGAGGCCUGAAUUUCCCCUGACUCCACCAUGAUAUCCACAAUGAAGUAAAACUGAUAGAAGAAGAAAGUGGGCUGGUGUGAGACCAGAGAGAAGAAAAAAGAAGAAAGGAGUGGAGAGAAACUCAGCGGCAGAGAGAAAAAGGAAGCUAUGCAUUUAGUACAGAGGAAGUGACAGAAAUGGUGCCAGAAGAGAGCUUGUACCUCCAGUUUGGACCCCGUUUUUUCAGUGAGAUUGACUGCUGUGCUCUGGGAGCUGGACAUGUGUGAGUCUGUAGGUGAGGAACAGCACACCAGGGCCCCGGCUCAACAUCUUUGUAACCAGAAAGGUCACAGCCCUUUCAGAUAGCUGGUGUGAUUCCCAUUUUGAGAGAUGGGAACAAUCUGAAGAAGGUGAACAUCCUGAUCAAGCUCCCACAGCCAGUUCAGGUCUCUGGGAAGCAUGUGAAGACUGUCCCGGCUUUCGUGCCAUCGGGUCCUGGGUUUGAAUUCCUGUUUUGCCACUGAUAUCCAGGAGAUCAGAGAAAUUUAUGUUUCCACUCUGAGCUUCAACAUCUGCAUCUCUUAAGGAACAUAAUUCAUACCUACCUCAUGACCAUGAUGGUGAAGAUUUGGAUAUGAUAAGGACUGUGAUGUCUAGGUACUGAAAAAAAUGCAUAGGGAUUCCCAGAUUCCUCCUCCUCUUUUCCUCUCUGACAGUUCCUGAAAUCUCACCUCUCUUGUAAGUAGAUUCUUGAAAGCUGGAGCCAGAUGACUGAUACAGGUUUUGUGUGAAGAUGAAAGAAUUUUAAAAUAAAAUAUUGGUUAUCUA